rnacentral:misc_RNA from 1 species
GACGAAUUCAAAAUCUAGUUUUUCUUUAUGCACACAAAGAAGAAACAGCUACAAAAUAUUAGACAUACACAGUGAGAGGAUAAUAUGUCUCAUACCAUCACAAUUGGCAUAAUAAAAUAUUCUCCUAGAGGCCUUUUAACCGUGAUAAUAUUACAAAAAUUUGGGGUCGAGCAGGAAUACAUGCAACUCAGAAAAUGUUGAGGAAAUCAAUAUAGAUAAAAGUGAAAAGAUAUAAACUUCAGUAGUCCUACCAUACAAACAUAUCCCAUGGAAGAG